rnacentral:tRNA from 2 species
GCUCAGAUGGUCGAGCUGGUUAAGACGUGAGAUUUAAGUAAAGGCUUUUUGCCUGAAGACUCCUCAUUGCGAAAGCAAUCGUGGGUUCGAACCCCACUCUGAGCA